rnacentral:rRNA from 1 species
GGUCAUAGUGAUCCGGUGGUUCUGAAUGGAAGGGCCAUCGCUCAACGGAUAAAAGGUACUCCGGGGAUAACAGGCUGAUACCGCCCAAGAGUUCAUAUCGACGGCGGUGUUUGGCACCUCGAUGUCGGCUCAUCACAUCCUGGGGCUGAAGUAGGUCCCAAGGGUAUGGCUGUUCGCCAUUUAAAGUGGUACGCGAGCUGGGUUUAGAACGUCGUGAGACAGUUCGGUCCCUAUCUGCCGUGGGCGCUGGAGAACUGAGGGGGGCUGCUCCUAGUACGAGAGGACCGGAGUGGACGCAUCACUGGUGUUCGGGUUGUCAUGCCAAUGGCACUGCCCGGUAGCUAAAUGCGGAAGAGAUAAGUGCUGAAAGCAUCUAAGCACGAAACUUGCCCCGAGAUGAGUUCUCCCUGAGACUUAGAGUCUCCUGAAGGAACGUUGAAGACGACGACGUUGAUAGGCCGGGUGUGUAAGCGCAGCGAUGCGUUGAGCUAACCG